rnacentral:rRNA from 1 species
GACGAACGCUGGCGGCGUGCCUAAUACAUGCAAGUUGAGCGCUGAAGGUUGGUACUUGUACCGACUGGAUGAGCAGCGAACGGGUGAGUAACGCGUGGGGAAUCUGCCUUUGAGCGGGGGACAACAUUUGGAAACGAAUGCUAAUACCGCAUAAAAACUUUAAACACAAGUUUUAAGUUUGAAAGAUGCAAUUGCAUCGCUCAAAGAUGAUCCCGCGUUGUAUUAGCUAGUUGGUGAGGUAAAGGCUCACCAAGGCGAUGAUACAUAGCCGACCUGAGAGGGUGGUCGGCCACAUUGGGACUGAGACACGGCCCAAACUCCUACGGGAGGCAGCAGUAGGGAAUCUUCGGCAAUGGACGAAAGUCUGACCGAGCAACGCCGCGUGAGUGAAGAAGGUUUUCGGAUCGUAAAACUCUGUUGGUAGAGAAGAACGUUGGUGAGAGUGGAAAGCUCAUCAAGUGACGGUAACUACCCAGAAAGGGACGGCUAACUACGUG